GGGGUCGUUUUUGGUUUUGACUGCAAGAUGAAGUGGUAAGCAAGCAUGUCGAGCGUUGUGAAUUUGCUCGUAAAUCUCGGUUCUCAAAUCGCUAACUGGCGAAAAUAACUAUGCAAUGGCUGCAUAAUCACGACUAAGUCGGAUUAUCUUAAUACUUACUCUUAGAGGGUAAGCACCAUUAAUCUCUCAACAGUUCUGUUCAUUAAUUGUUGUACUCGAGGUUUCAAAAUUUUGAACUAGCUAAGUAAAAUGCUUCGAUUUACUGGCGAAACACAAGAAGCUUAAGCUUAUGGUUGGAUGCUUUUAACCUGCAAUAAGCCUAACAAUUAAUUAAAAGCUAAGCAUGUAGAAACCUUAUUAGUUCCUUGUUUGGACGAGGGUUCGAAUCCCUCCGACUCCACAA
rnacentral:tmRNA from 1 species